rnacentral:rRNA from 1 species
CCCUUAGAUGUCCUGGGCCGCACGCGCGCUACACUGAGUGUCUGAGAUACGAGUCUGCCUGGUCCGGCAAGGUCUAGGUAAUCGCUAAAAGACACAUCAUGCUUGGGAUAGAUUAUUGCAAAUAUUAAUCUUGAACGAGGAAUUCCUAGUAAGCGCAAGUCAACAGCUUGCGUCGAUUACGUCCCUGCCCUUUGUACACACCGCCCGUCGCUCCUACCGAUUGGGUGUGCUGGUGAAAUGUUCGGAUCGGCCGUUUGUCGCGGUUUCCGCGUCAUGUGGCUGAGAAGUUCAUUAAACCCUCCCACCUAGAGGAAGGAGAAGUCGUAACA